rnacentral:tRNA from 1 species
GGCUGUGUGGUCUAGUGGUAUGAUUCUCGCUUAGGGUGCGAGAGGUCACGAGUUCAAUUCUCGGCACAGCCC